rnacentral:rRNA from 1 species
AGGAGAGGAAAGCAGAAUUCCUGGUGUAGCGGUGAAAUGCGUAGAAAUCAGGAGGAAUACCAGUGGCGAAGGCGGCUUUCUGGACUGACCCUGACGCUGAGGUGCGAAAGCGUGGGUAGCAAACAGGAUUAGAUACCCUGGUAGUCCACGCCGUAAACGAUGGAUACUAGGUGUGGGAGGUAUCGACCCCUUCCGUGCCGCAUCUAACGCAAUAAGUAUCCCGCCUGGGGAGUACGGUCGCAAGGCUGAAACUC